CUUCAGCGAACCCACCCACACCGGGGAGUCGGGUUCGCGGCCCUGCCCGUACACCGCCAGCAGCGCCCGGGCUUC
rnacentral:antisense_RNA from 1 species